UGGCCGCACCCACGCGGCGCAGCUCCCAAAGUUGCAGACAGCCCGGCGAACCGCGCAAUGCGCUUCUUCUGCCUGCAGCAGAGAAAAGGAAAGAAAACUCCGCAGGGGCUCCGUUGGCUUCUCCACGAGUGACAACCAUGUUUUCCCAGAUAGAAGACCGGAGCCCUGCUCCUUUGCGAUCCGCCGAGGGCUGCAGAGAGCAUCCUCAUCCAUUUGGGCACCCCUGCCCAGGAAGAGCCCGGCCAUCCCUUUCCGGACUGGAUCCUUAAGAGGUGAAUUUUCUUCCGUGGAUUCCGAUUUGCUCCGUCUGACCAGCCUAGGCAAUCCAGCAUCGCGUGGUACCAGUGCCGCUGGGCACACUGGCUUCACGCCGGCUCCGCCUCACCAGCAAGCGCAUUCCCAGAGGAGAAAAUGAGACACUGAGUGGGACUCAGGGAUUGCUCCAGGCCACACAGUCAGCAGGAGGCAAAGCCCAGAUUCAAAUGCAGAUUACUCAGCUCCACAAUCCACAUCCUCACAGGAGGCUGCACUCCUUGCCCAAGCGUCAGACAGGAGCAAAGAGAAAGAAGGCAACCAGCUGGCUACUUUCUUCCCUUCUUGGAUGCCUCCAACAGGGUGAGAAGGACUAAACAAAUGACCAAGUGUCAUCCCAUUUUGGACAUACUUAAAACACCCCAUGGAAUUUUUAUUCUGACUUUCUUCUGCCUGUGUGGCAUUUAUGUUUAAAUAAAAGAGAAUUCAACUCGUAUGUCUGAUAUCUUCAUGACUAGUUUGCCAGGGAUAGUCCCCAUGUACACUUUGUUGUAUCGUUGACCUGUUCAGUUUAGCAUUUGCUCAGGGAUUUCCAUUUUUAACCUAGUGCUAUUAGCAACAGUUGUGUUAAACAUGCUAAGAUGGGUCUGGUGAACUUUGACUUUUCGAGCUUCAGUCUGGUCUCAGCAAGGAGUAACUGAGAUUUUGUGCAGUGAGCAGAGUUCCGACUUUAACACAUGGUUAAAUCUGAUUGACUUCCAACCCUCUCUAAACACAAAGUAACUAACAGCAACUUCCCAAGUACAUUGCUACAAGCUGAAUAUUUAUGUUCCCUCCAACAUUCAGAUGCUGAACUCCUUACCCCAGUGUGAGGGUAUUUGGAGGUGGGACCUUUGGGAGAUUCGGUCUUCAUAAAUGGGAUUAGUGCCCUUAUAAAAGAAAUCACAGAGAGCUUCCUCUCUCCUUCUACCAUGUAAGGAUGCAGCAAGAAGACACCAUGAACCAGGAAGUACGUCCUCACCGGACAUAGAUUCUGCCAGUUCCUUGAUCUUGACUUCCCAGCCUCCAGAACUACGAGAAAUACAUGUCUGCUGUUUAUAAGUUGCCCAGAUUUUGAUAUGUUGUUAUUGUAGCCUGAACAAACUAAGACAGACAUCAUGCAGGACUCAGUAACAAAAGGAAAUGCACACAAACGCUGUCUUGGUGUUUGCUGCCCUGUCAGCUUACUGGUGGCCCAUUCAGUGGAGCAUGGCCGAUGCACAGGUUCUUACCACAGGCCUCGCCACAGCUAACAAGAUACCUGAAACUGUCAACUUGCCAGUUGGUGGAGUCUUUGAGAAAUAGGGAAAAGUAUAGGGUUAAUUAAGAUGAGAUGUGCAGGGGAAAUAAAGACAGAGAUGUCCUAACCCAUAGGUAA
ensembl:lncRNA DUBR DPPA2 upstream binding RNA